rfam:Dipodomys ordii contig_55165, whole genome shotgun sequence.
GGUAAUGUGGCUUAGUGGUAGAGUGCUUGCCUAGCAUGCAUAAAGCUCUUGGUUCAAUUCCUCAGUACCA